UGGAAAAUAAAAAUGAAAAAGGUACAGCGUUUAUACUGCUGGCAAAUAUGUCCUCCAAAAAGGUUAAUCUGCACUAUGUUGUGCUCCAUUUCAUUGAGCAAAAUGAGGUUGAGGUGGCACCAUCCUUGUGGUUAGAGUGGAAUGAUGGGGUAGGAUUUAGUCCAUAUGUUUUUUUAUAAAACAUAAAUGAUAAACAUUAAACAAGGUCAACUACACACAUAUAUGAAUGAAAGAUAUUGUUUUGUUAUUGGCCUAAUUCAAAUGCUGGGACCAUGGUCAAAAAAUGUGCCAUACCAUUCAAACAGCUAUGGGCAAAAUAUGCAGUCAGAGUAUUUUCUGACACAGGUAAAGUACGCAAAAUAAUACCAAGGUUCUUUUUAAUCUCAACAAAUACCGGCAACCAUUCCUAAAAUAUAAAUUGUUUAUAUAAUGUAUAUUAAGCAAAAGUUGUGCUAUUUUGAGAACAGACAAUUACAACAUGGCAAGACAUCGGGCCCAAACAGCACUGGAAACCUCUCAGGUUGAGGACUCUGAUGGAAAUAGUGUACGAAAGAUCAUCCCACCAAGACGAUUUAGAGAAGAAGAAUUCCAGCCCAGCAAGCCCAGAAGGGCAGAACAGACACAACAUUUUCAAGAGGACAGUGAAUGAUCUCAAGAUGAGACUUCCAGUUUGAGAGCGAAGAAAAUAAACGGUCUAGAUCAACAGCAAUUGCACCUGAGUAAAUAUUCAAGUUUUUGAGAGUUUGGAGAGGAGAAUAAUGCUGAAACGAGACCAAAUCCAGGACAACAUCACAGCAGCGGUCGGAACAAUGCAGCAGUCAAUGAGCCAGCCAAGCACCUCUGUCUCUGAUCUUACAGAGCUGCUAGAGGAGCCUUGUAAGACUGUGGAGGAAUUAGAAGAGCUGUGUAAUAAGCUGAAAGAUCCUGACUUUUGAAAGAAGAUGAUUCGUUAUCUGUGUCUUCAGAGUGGAGGCAGCUUGGGAGGUGGAAUUAGGAGGAUGCUGAAAAAAAUUGGAGAUAACUCCUUAUGGGGACGGUACAGUUACAAAGGGAGAAACGGAAAACUUAAAUUUCAGUAAAUUUAAAAACUUGCCACUAAUGACUAAUAAUGUGUCUGUGUCAAUCCCCAAGAUCUCAAAAAUGAUGUGAAAUGUGAAUAGGUUGUAAAUAAGAAUGUACAUUGUAAAUGUAGAAGUUGUUAGUUCUCAUUACAUAAAUAUUCAUAGCAGUUAAUGGUCUAUUUUGACAAGAUUAAUGUUUGAUGCUUUUGGAAUAGAACUUUCUACAUCUGAGUUCUAGUUUUAAUAACUUUGAUCUCUGUAUUGAAUCAAGGUACCUGCAGUAAGGCAAACCCACACCAAAAAUCCCAGAGUGUGGAGGAAAUGAUUGCUGUGACCCUAAAACAUGCCCCAGAUCGUGCAAAAACAGCUAAUCAGAUUAGAAGCCAAUGGGCAGAAUUGCCAUCGGAAUAACCUCACAGCUGACAACCAGAGACACACACACACAAUUGCUAUAAGCGUGUUUGCCUGACACACACACACACACACACACACACACAGAAAGAGCACAGCACCUUUA